GGUUCUUUGGCGCAAUGGUAGCGCGUCCGCCUCCUAUGGGAUUCGAUCCCGUCGUUCGGGCAGCGGAAGGUUGUGGGUUCGAGUCCCAUGAGAAUCG